ensembl:snRNA U7 U7 small nuclear RNA
GAAAAUUUGCUCUUUUAGUAUUUGUCAAGUAGGCAUCUUCAAUUGAAGAAGCCCCC